rnacentral:lncRNA from 1 species
CACAUUAACAAUGAGAAGUUUUUAGUCUUCCCUCGGGAGCAGGAGAUCAAGCUUAUACAUCGAUGCCUAUUUUCAAUUGUGUGUUCAUGAAUACGUUUGAGACGCUACAUUAGAAUAAUACGUUUUAGACGUUGCAUUAGAAUUAGGUAUGGUAAAAGUAGAACAAAUCAAAAAACUAAUGUAACAAAUAAAAAUUGUUUUUUUCCUUUUCAAACCUACAUCUUAAAAUCUAGGCCUAGAUCUGGCAUAUAGAUAUUCUGCCCAAAGAUG